UCAUACUUUUAAAGAUGAAUGACAAGCAACAAGUUAAGCUAUUUUAGAUCGUUGAUCUAAUAGAACAUUCGAUACAUUGUUGGUGAACAUGUGUGUUUGUUUUAAUUAUGAAUCGGUACGAAAUGUGCCAAGGAAAAGAAAAUAUUGUCCCUCCUAUAAAUGAUACACAUUGUUAUUUUUUAUAAGGCUGGAGAUUAAUCAAUAAU
rnacentral:misc_RNA from 1 species